GGGUCUAAUCCCUAUCAGCCAAAUUUUAAUCCCUAAAUCUAAGUUACCCAAAAAAUUUCUCUCAGCCUCCAUCUCUCACUCUCGUCUCAACUCAUCUCUCUCUGCCUCACGAAGUCACACCGAUUAUAGCUUCCAGAUUUCCGUCUCUGCCUCACGAUUUCACGCCGACUAUCACAAGCUUUUGGAGUUCUAUUUCUCUCAGCCUCCAUCUCUCACUCUCGUCUCAACUCAUCUCUCUCUGCCUCACGAAGUCACGUCGAUUGCAGCUUCUAGAGUUCUAUCUCUGCCUCACACCGACUAUCUCAGGAGACUUAACUAAAGAGAAGAGACAUUGCUGGUAAUGCUGCAGCCUGUGCCGAGAGGACAACUAGUGAUAUGCUGAUUGGUCCAGACUGGGAAAUAAACAUUGAAUUAUGUGAUAUUAUUAACAUGGACCCUGGGUACUUUCUAUUUAUCUUUUCGGUGGAACGCUUGUGCAAGGAAAAGAUGCCUUGAAGACACUCAAGAAGCAUCUUGGCAGUAAAAAUCCGAAAAUACAACUUCUGGCUCUUUUUGCUUUAGAAACUCUCAGCAAAAAUUGUGGUGAGAGUGUUUUCCAGCAGAUAGUUGAGCGUGA